ACGUUAGCGGCGGACGGGUGAGUAACACGUGGGUAACCUACCUAUAAGACUGGGAUAACUCCGGGAAACCGGGGCUAAUACCGGAUAAUACAUGAAACCGCAUGGUUUCAUGAUGAAAGACGGUUUUGCUGUCACUUAUAGAUGGACCCGCGGCGUAUUAGCUAGUUGGUAAGGUAACGGCUUACCAAGGCAACGAUACGUAGCCGACCUGAGAGGGUGAUCGGCCACACUGGAACUGAUACACGGUCCAGACUCCUACGGGAGGCAGCAGGA
rnacentral:rRNA from 1 species